AUGCCUCCAAUGGCGGGAGAAGGUAACCCUGGUGAGGGAGGAGGAGGUGAGGCGGGAGGAGGAGGAGGUCCGACGGGCCGUGCACCACCGACGCCACCACCGGCCGCUCCAACCUCGACCCAUGGACGAUCUGGGAAGGAGGGCCACGGCAUGGAAGCUGAUUGCCCUGUGCCCUGGUACACAAGGACGCUGGUGGCGCUUGGGAUCAAGUCCCAUGGCGACCCUUCUGGUCCAUUGAGGCAUGCUUUCACAUUGAGCCAACAUUCUUCUGGUGCAUUGAAGCAGGGAACUGUUGAUCCGUUGUUGGGGGUUGUUGUCACCUCUGAGGGGUACCUCUCAAGGUCUGAAUUUGAAAGGAUAAACAACUACCUUGAAUGUGUUCUUAAUGAAGUGAAAUCUGCAUUAGGUUCUUCUGCUGAGGAUGUCGAGGAUGAAUACGGGUGCCAAGAUACUGUCCCACCAGUUACUCAGGAGUCUUCCAGUGGCCCAGGCUUGAAGACCAUAUCGGCAAUUGUUCUAGGUGCUGCGUCUAGGAAUGCAUGUGAAAGUCCUCAAAUCAGUCAGGGUACCAGUGUGAGGGGGGAGAUAAUGCCAAACAAUGCGGAGCACGUGCAGGUUAUUCAACAAUCCACCCAGGAAAUCAAGGCUUUCAUUCAUGAUGCUGUUAGAAGAAAUCUGAUUGCCCCAGACUGUGCACGGGACCUGGUUUUCAAAAUAGAUGAGCUGGGCAAGUGUACUUCAAGGGCCGUCUCUCGAAAUGGAACCCGCAUUUUUACAUUGAAUGGAUUGAAGAAGAGACUGAAACUACCAGACUUUAGUUCUCUAUCAGACAAGAUUAUAGCUUUUGGUGGUUCAUUCCAUUCUGUUAUAACCAUUACUGGAGCUGCGUACCGUGUAUCUAAAUCUGAUGGCCCAGGAUAUUUUCAUGAUGUCGGGAAAGAGGCAUUAGAACUGAUCAGGGAUCCUUUUUACCUACAAAACCAUGUUUGGAAUUCUGGUCGUAAAUCUUCUCUGAUAUGUGGCAGUGAAUUUACAACUAGCCAAAAAUUGGUGAAGAAAUUGAUGUUGAGUUUCAAGAAUGAUGGCUCCUUCAUGUGUUUCAAAGCUUCUGUUAUCGAUCCCCUUGAAGAUGUUCCUGUAAAUGACCCAGAACAUGAUGUGGCUGUCAAUGACAUUCCUGAUAUGGAAGAUCCUAAUUCUGCACAGUUAUUGGUGGAGAAGAUUGUUGGUCCUGAUGUGAAUACAAUGUUAUAUCUGCCCUACUCUCUUAAAAAAGCAAAAGUUGAAUUCCAGCUACAUCAACCUUAUGAUGGGUCUGUUCUUAGCAUUGGUUUGAACAACGAAAGGAUGCCUUGCAUAUCUGUUUCGAGCUUAUGUGGCCUGCAGGAUAUCUGUUUGGGAGGUGUUGACAGCCUUGCUUUUGGGGGCCAAUUGAAAAUAAACGAGUCCAAGUCAUGGUUCAGUGUUUCUGCUGGGUUGUCAGUCCGUGCUGAAUUGUUCAGUGCUGGCCUAACUUUUAAACAACCUGUUCAGUUUGAUUAUACUUUCUGCAGCAAUAUUCUCAAUACAAGCACUGUAUUAGGUGGCCUGGCUAGCUAUAGCUAUCUGACCAAUCAAUGGAAAUUGAUUGGCGGAAUUGGUCACACUUUUGACCCCACAUUCAAUAUCAAAGGGCGUAUUGGUAAUGAUAAAACUGUCAAUGCUCUUAUCUCUAAGAAGUUCGCUGGCAAGGGCAGUCUUCAUUUUGCAUCGGAGGUUGAUUUAAAGGAUUUUUGGAGAUAUCCUCGGGUUGGAGGAAGCUUCAUGCUGAAGCAGUUGGGGGUAGCGUUUCUGAAUUGCUGA
rnacentral:rRNA from 1 species